rnacentral:rRNA from 1 species
GAUGAACGCUGGCGGCGUGCCUAAUACAUGCAAGUCGAGCGAACAGACGAGGAGCUUGCUCCUCUGACGUUAGCGGCGGACGGGUGAGUAACACGUGGAUAACCUACCUAUAAGACUGGGAUAACUUCGGGAAACCGGAGCUAAUACCGGAUAAUAUAUUGAACCGCAUGGUUCAAUAGUGAAAGACGGCUUUGCUGUCACUUAUAGAUGGAUCCGCGCCGCAUUAGCUAGUUGGUAAGGUAACGGCUUACCAAGGCAACGAUGCGUAGCCGACCUGAGAGGGUGAUCGGCCACACUGGAACUGAGACACGGUCCGGACUCCUACGGGAGGCAGCAGUAGGGAAUCUUCCGCAAUGGGCGAAAGCCUGACGGAGCAACGCCGCGUGAGUGAUGAAGGUCUUCGGAUCGUAAAACUCUGUUAUUAGGGAAGAACAAAUGUGUAAGUAACUAUGCACGUCUUGACGGUACCUAAUCAGAAAGCCACGGCUAACUACGUG